CAGUCGCCGCGGUAAUACAGAGGGUGCGAGCGUUAAUCGGAUUUACUGGGCGUAAAGCGUGUGUAGGCGGCUUUUUAAGUCGGAUGUGAAAUCCCUGAGCUUAACUUAGGAAUUGCAUUCGAUACUGGGAAGCUAGAGUAUGGGAGAGGAUGGUAGAAUUCCAGGUGUAGCGGUGAAAUGCGUAGAGAUCUGGAGGAAUACCGAUGGCGAAGGCAGCCAUCUGGCCUAAUACUGACGCUGAGGUACGAAAGCAUGGGGAGCAAACAGGAUUAGAUACCCCGGUAGUCCCUGUCUCUUAUAC
rnacentral:rRNA from 1 species